rnacentral:rRNA from 1 species
UACGAAGGGGGCUAGCGUUGCUCGGAAUUACUGGGCGUAAAGCGCGUGUAGGCGGCCCUGCAAGUCGGAUGUGAAAUCCCACGGCUCAACCGUGGAAGUGCAUUCGAAACUGCAGGGCUAGAGUCCUGGAGAGGAAGGUGGAAUGCUUGGUGUAGAGGUGAAAUUCGUAGAUAUCAAGCGGAACACCGGUGGCGAAGGCGGCCUUCUGGACAGUGACUGACGCUGAGACGCGAAAGCGUGGGGAGCAAACAGGG